GAUGAAGAACGCAGCGAAAUGCGAUAAGUAAUGUGAAUUGCAGAAUUCAGUGAAUCAUCGAAUCUUUGAACGCACAUUGCGCCCGCCAGUAUUCUGGCGGGCAUGCCUGUUCGAGCGUCAUUUCAACCAUCAAGCCCUGCUUGCGUUGGGGUCCUGCGGCUGCCCGCAGGCCCUGAAAACCAGUGGCGGGCUCGCUAGUCACACCGAGCGCAGUAAUACAUCUCGCUUUGGGCGUGCGGCGGGUUCUUGCCGUUAAACACCCCCUUUUUACCAAGGUUGACCUCGGAUCAGGUAGGAAUACCCGCUGAACUUAAGCAUAUCAAAAGCGGAGGA
rnacentral:misc_RNA from 1 species